CCUACGGGAGGCUGCAGUGGGGAAUAUUGGACAAUGGGGGCAACCCUGAUCCAGCCAUGCCGCGUGUGUGAAGAAGGCCCUCGGGUUGUAAAGCACUUUCAGUGAGGAAGAACGCCUGGUGGUUAAUACCCAUCAGGAAAGACAUCACUCACAGAAGAAGCACCGGCUAACUCCGUGCCAGCAGCCGCGGUAAUACGGAGGGUGCGAGCGUUAAUCGGAAUUACUGGGCAUAAAGCGCGCGUAGGUGGCUUGAUAAGCCGGUUGUGAAAGCCCCGGGCUCAACCUGGGAACGGCAUCCGGAACUGUCAAGCUAGAGUGCAGGAGAGGAAGGUAGAAUUCCCGGUGUAGCGGUGAAAUGCGUAGAGAUCGGGAGGAAUACCAGUGGCGAAGGCGGCCUUCUGGACUGACACUGACACUGAGGUGCGAAAGCGUGGGUAGCAAACAGGAUUAGAUACCCUUGUAGUC
rnacentral:rRNA from 1 species